rnacentral:rRNA from 1 species
AUUGAACGCUGGCGGUAUGCUUAACACAUGCAAGUCGAACGGUAACAGGUCUUCGGAUGCUGACGAGUGGCGGACGGGUGAGUAACGCGUAGGAAUCUGCCUCGUAGUGGGGGACGACUCGGAGAAAUCCGAGCUAAUACCGCAUACGCCCUAAGGGGGAAAGGAGGGGACUCUUUGGAGCCUUUCGCUAUGAGAUGAGCCUGCGUUAGAUUAGCUAGUUGGUGGGGUAAAAGCCUACCAAGGCGACGAUCUAUAGCUGUUCUGAGAGGAAGAUCAGCCACACUGGGACUGAGACACGGCCCAGACUCCUACGGGAGGCAGCAGUGGGGAAUAUUGGACAAUGGGCGCAAGCCUGAUCCAGCAACACCGCGUGUGUGAAGAAGGCCCUAGGGUUGUAAAGCACUUUCAAUUGGGAGGAAAAAAUAAGGNAUAAUACGUCUUAUCUUGACAUUACCUUUAGAAGAAGCACCGGCUAACUC